rnacentral:pre_miRNA from 1 species
UUCGUUCCAAUAUGUAUGGAGUUGAAACGUUUACCUACGUUUGCCGCUUGGGGCGCUGUUCCAAUAUCAUACAAAUUUGAGUUA